rnacentral:lncRNA from 1 species
CAUGUCAUGCUGAGGAAUUCCUUCAGUGAUACAAACAACUAGGUCCAAUUCAGCUUCCAGAGCAUCCAUAAUAGCAGCAGCAGCAAAAGGUGGAGGACCAUAGAUCACUGAUGCGUUAGCUUCCAUUUCAGCUUUCGCUUAAGCGACGGAGUUGAAGACAGGAAGGCCAAAGUGUUCUGUGCCACCCUUCUUAGGUGUGACUCCUCCAACCUGUUUCAGAAACGAUAUGGUAAGACUUCAAGAGUUCGAAACAAAGUACAAUAAGCAGAAUUUUUAACUCAGAUAAAAGGGACAUAAUGAGCAAUCCACACUGUAGCUUUGUUAGUGAUGAUGCUCUACAUUGAUUUCACAGCAACUAAAGACCAUCUACAGCCGGUCAACGGACUAAUCAGAGUUCUCCGUUGGUUAAAGAAACAAACUUUCGACUCCAUAUUCAAACGCUGAGUGAUAAUCCAUAUUCAAAGCUGAUUUCAAGAUUAAGACUCCAGACCAUCAUAUUAACACAAACGGAAGCAUUAAGUCUAACUUGUAUAUCCGCGUGAAAGAAGCCAUGAUCGUCGUGAUGCAUACUCAUCGUGGAAAAAAUAAAGUACUAAAACCAGACCACCUAUCUAAUGAAGCACAAAAGGAAAGGAAAGAGGGAGAUCAACGAUUACCAUCUUGGUGCCAUAUUCAAUGGCUUGUUCGGUGUGAAAAGUCCCGUUCUUUCCGGUGAUUCCCUGGCAAACGACGCGUGUGUUCUUGCCGACAAACACCGCCGGAGGCGAAGGACCACGAUUGCGACAAAGUUUGGGAGGAGAUAGGAGUGAUUUGGGGAGUGGGAGAGUGAAGCUUGGAAGACAAAGAGGCCACGAGUCUGGUGGCAUUCAACAGCCGGCGAGACGACGGAAUCAGGAGUAAACAACGAUAAGAUAGAAAAGUGCAGGUAGGCGCGUGCAAAACACGAUGGCGCGUUCGCGUGAGUUACAAACGCGCGUGGGGGAUGAUUUGUUUAGAAUAAUAACCACUCGCAUACAUAGGCACGUGGAUUACACGCGUAAAACGAAUCGGGUCGUCGGGUUUUGGCCGGGUCGGGUCAGAGGACUUUAAGGGCUCCGGGCUUUUGAGCGUGCCAUUGCGGAUCUGGCCCACACAUUUUAGGCCAAAAGCGGGUCGGGUCAGCCGAAUUUUCGGACCCAUACAAAACAGAGUUGGAGCUGGACCCUCCCCCAAAGACGUCUGAAAAAGCCCAUUUUUGAACGACCACGUGUUACUCCAUUGUGUUGAGCCAGGCCGUAUUUUCUAGACCCACAUCAGGCCCACGCGCCAUUUUGGUCCGCCUUAAUGACAGAGGGCUUUACAGUUGAAUUUUUUGAUUAUAUGGGCUUUUGGCCUUUUUAUGGCUCUAUUUUUCUGGGUUUCUAUGGGUCUGGCCAUUACUCAGGCCAUUGAUACUCAUAUCAUUAAUACAUAUUUCUGCUAAUUAAUUAACGAGUAACACAAUAAUUACAUACACUAAACUAAAAAACGAAUGAAUCAAGCAAUUGCAUCUUCAAAGAAAUUCAGAAUCUGAUGCACACUCGAUAACCAAACCAACCCUAAUAUAAACCAACAAAACUAGCAAACCAAAAACCACUAUAAAAAUCGGUUUCAUUUCAGUUAUCAUAGUAUCCGAACUGUUUUCGACAAGAAACAUUAUUUUCAACUUUGUAUUGCAGGGGAGAAAUGAGAAAUUUUGUGAAAGAGCAACUGGUUUCCUUGUCCAUCAAUCAAGAAAAAUUCUUGAAUUCCUUUCCACAUUGUUAAAAGGCAAAACAAAAAAGCUAUGCAGAAAAUGAGACUCUGUGAUCCUCAGUCAUUCAAAACAAAGCUAAUCAAUUGACCAGACCCCUUUCCUUGAACACACUGAACAUGGCGGUACCGAUCUUCGCCGGAGAUUCAACUACGGUCACCCCAGCUUCCUUCAGUGUCCUGAUCUUGUCUUGUGCAGUGCCCUUCCCGCCAGAGACGAUAGCUGCACAUUACCAAUAAUAACCGGUUAUAAUCAAUUUUUCAGUUUGGGAAAACGGCAUUAUUGAGAUUAAACAUGUUACGUACCUCCAGCAUGCCCCAUACGACGUCCAGGUGGAGCAGUCAGUCCGGCGAUGAAGGCAACAAUAGGCUUCUCAGUCUUGCUUGCCUGGUUCACAAGUUUGAGCCAAUUUAGUUUGAAGAAUGACUAAGAUACAUACAAAUGAAGGACCUUUAUUUGACAAAGUAUACCUUUAUUAGAGCAGCAGCAUCUUCUUCUGCAGUACCUCCGAUCUCACCGAUAAGAACGAUGCCUGCCAAGAUAUUCAUAUAGAAUCAUCAGUUCUCAUGGUUUAGCAUCAUCGUUCCUGUUGCUUACAAGGUCCCAUUCAAGGUUCUAUUAAAUGUGUACAAAGAGCCAAGCUUUUGUAAGAACAGGGACUUUGGGAUCUUCCAGAAUAUAUAUGCUAAUAUAGAAGCAAAUUCAAGUAUAGGGAAUUUACCUUCAGUCUGAGGGUCUUCUAGGAACUUCUCCAUGCAGUCAACAAAAUUGGUCCCAUUGAAAGGAUCACCGCCAAUUCCUACGCAGGUGGAUUGUCCAAGACCAACUGCUGUUGUUUGGAAAACCUGCGAAAUCGGUAACAAAAAGCCAUCAGUCUAGUCUUCCAAAAGCAGGGAACUUGUCCUAAACUAAGAACAAAUAUGAACUCUAGAAAUAUAUAUGCACUCACAGCCUCAUAAGUCAAUGUGCCAGACCGUGAAACAAUUCCAAUACGCCCUGGUUUGUGGAUGUAUCCAGGCAUGAUUCCAAUCUUGCAUUCCCCAGGUUUGAUGAUCCCAGGGCAAUUUGGACCAAUUAAUCUUGUUUUCGAUUGCUGGUUCAGGGCAGCCUUCACACGGACCUGUUGUCAAAACUCAAUCUCAGAGACUUGCAGAAGUGCCAUGAAAGAAGAGGCAUUGAUUCUAAGAAAAAGGAAGAUAUUCGAUUAGAUAAUACACAACUUUCCUAGAACAGAUGCCAGUCAAAGGCAAUUGGUAAGUUACCAUGUCAUGCUGAGGAAUUCCUUCAGUGAUACAAACAACUAGGUCUAAUUCAGCUUCCAAAGCCUCCAUAAUAGCAGCAGCGGCAAAAGGUGGAGGGACAUAGAUCACUGAUGCAUUAGCUUUCGUUUCAGCUUUUGCUUCCGCGACGGAGUUGAAGACAGGAAGGCCCAAGUGUUCCGUGCCACCCUUUUUAGGUGUCACC